rnacentral:rRNA from 1 species
AGAUUGAACGCUAGCGGGAUGCUUUACACAUGCAAGUCGAACGGCAGCGCGGACUUCGGUCUGGCGGCAAGUGGCGAACGGGUGAGUAAUAUAUCGGAACGUGCCCAGUAGCGGGGGGAUAACUACGCGAAAGCGUGGCUAAUACCGCAUACGCCCUACGGGGGAAAGGGGGGGAUUCUUCGGAACCUCUCACUAUUGGAGCGGCCGAUAUCAGAUUAGCUAGUUGGUGAGGUAAAGGCUCACCAAGGCGACGAUCUGUAGCUGGUUUGAGAGGACGACCAGCCACACUGGGGACUGAGACACGGCCCAGACUCCUACGGGAGGCAGCGUGGAGUUGGUAUAGAGGGAACGUACGGACUCGACGCCAC